AACGAACGCUGGCGGCAGGCCUAACACAUGCAAGUCGAGCGAGGACUUCGGUUCUAGCGGCGGACGGGUGAGUAACGCGUGGGAAUGUGCCCUUCUCUACGGAAUAUCCCUGGGAAACUGGGAGUAAUACCGUAUACGCCCUUUUGGGGAAAGAUUUAUCGGGGAAGGAUCAGCCCGCGUUGGAUUAGGUAGUUGGUAGGGUAAUGGCCUACCAAGCCGACGAUACAUAGCUGGUUUGAGAGGAUGAUCAGCCACACUGGGAAUGAGACACGGCACAGACUACUACGGGAGGGAGCAGUGGGGAAUAUUAGAAAAUGGGGGCAAAGAUGAACAAGCCAUGACGGGUGAGUGAUGAAGGCAUUAGGGUAGUAAAGCAAUAUCAGAUGGGAAGAUAAUGACGGUAACAGAAGAAGAAGCACCGGCUAACUACGUG
rnacentral:rRNA from 1 species